rnacentral:tRNA from 1 species
GGUCUAGUGGUGUAAUGGUUAUCACGUCUCGCUCACAAGCCGAGGAGGCUCAGAGUUCGAUCCUCUGCUGGAUCA